rnacentral:rRNA from 1 species
GACGAACGCUGGCGGCGUGCUUAACACAUGCAAGUCGAACGGAAAGGCCCGGCCUUGUUGGGCUGCUCUACUUGCGAACGGGGGAGUAACACGUGAGUAACCUGCCCUUGACUUUGGGAUAACUUCAUGAAACUGGGUCUAAUACCGGAUAGGAGCUCCUGCUGCAUGGUGGGGGUUGGUAAGUUUCGGCGGUUGGGGAUGGACUCGCGUUGGAUUAGCUUGUUGGUAGGGUAGUGGCUUACCAUGGCGUUGACGCAUAGCUGGUCGGAGAGGGGGACAAACCAGAAUGGGAAUGAGACACGGCCCAGAAUGGGACGGGAGGCAGGAGUAGGGAAUAUUGGAGACGGGGCGAAAGCCUGACACAGCAACGCGGGGGGAGUGAUGAAGGCCUUAGGGUUGUAAAGCUGUUUGACCCGGGAUGAUAAUGACAGUAACGGGAGAAGAAGCUCCGGCUAACUACGUG